UUGGACUGUUCCACGUGGAAA
ensembl:piRNA 21ur-3863 ncRNA